rnacentral:lncRNA from 1 species
CUCUUAGCUGGUUUGGCAUGUGCAGGAAAGUGGGUCUUCUUCAGAAGGUGCUGGACAGACAAACAGUUAUUUUUCAAUGGACAUUUCCACACUUAACAAAAAAACCCCACUUUCGUUCAAAUUUUUGCCUCAGAAGUCAUUUAGCUUGAUCUUGCCUUAUUUUGCUUGCUAGAAAUAAUGACAAAAUAAGUUAUUAAUGAAAGAGACAUGGAGGCAGAAUUUCCCAUGACAGUAAAUCACUGUUACACAGCUCUCAUUGUCCAGCAGCACGCACUCAAAAUGUGACUAGUCCCGACUGCUUGGGGCUGUUGAUUUUGUGUAUGAGAAUUUCCUGUAAUAGCUUGGGGGCCUGCAUACAGCCAGUCCCUGGCAUGGCACGUUUGCCAGCAAGCCUCUUUCCAAUUUACCAAGGGAAAACCUGGGAUCCAUGGCAGACUGGGAAAGAGCUCAGAAAUUCCUCCCCAGAGCUGCAUUUCUGCGUGCGGCCAUGCAGCGGCACAGGAGACCAGGAAUCUGCGGGACGGGGUGAGCGAGAGGCAGGAGCUGCUCAGGUGCGGGGCUGGCAGGUUCCCUGGUGCCCAAAUGGGUUCAUCCAUGUCCAUGAGAGCUUGAACUGCUUCAUGCAAACCCUGGGGGUCCGUGCUGCUGUUCUCUGAUUCCCCAGGGCAGACACUCCAAGGACGGCUGUGAAAUGGAACUUAAAAGUAACGUUAAAAGUAACUCUGCCUUGUUACUUAACUCACUCUAGUUGUGUUUCAGGUAGACUUAUGGCAUGGGGAAAAUGUUGUUUGUUUGUUUUUUCAAAACUUUAUCAGAAUAAAAGCAAGAACUUAAAUGCUCUAAAUCUAUUC